rnacentral:rRNA from 1 species
GAUGAACGCUGGCGGCGUGCCUAAUACAUGCAAGUCGAGCGAACGGACGAGAAGCUUGCUUCUCUGAUGUUAGCGGCGGACGGGUGAGUAACACGUGGAUAACCUACCUAUAAGACUGGGAUAACUUCGGGAAACCGGAGCUAAUACCGGAUAAUAUUUUGAACCGCAUGGUUCAAAAGUGAAAGACGGUCUUGCUGUCACUUAUAGAUGGAUCCGCGCUGCAUUAGCUAGUUGGUAAGGUAACGGCUUACCAAGGCAACGAUGCAUAGCCGACCUGAGAGGGUGAUCGGCCACACUGGAACUGAGACACGGUCCAGACCCCUACGGGAGGCAGCAGUAGGGAAUCUUCCGCAAUGGGCGAAAGCCUGACGGAGCAACGCCGCGUGAGUGAUGAAGGUCUUCGGAUCGUAAAACUCUGUUAUUAGGGAAGAACAUAUGUGUAAGUAACUGUGCACAUCUUGACGGUACCUAAUCAGAAAGCCACGGCUAACUACGUGCCAGCAGCCGCGGUAAUACGUAGGUGGCAAGCGUUAUCCGGAAUUAUUGGGCGUAAAGCGCGCGUAGGCGGUUUUUUAAGUCUGAUGUGAAAGCCCACGGCUCAACCGUGGAGGGUCAUUGGAAACUGGAAAACUUGAGUGCAGAAGAGGAAAGUGGAAUUCCAUGUGUAGCGGUGAAAUGCGCAGAGAUAUGGAGGAACACCAGUGGCGAAGGCGACUUUCUGGUCUGUAACUGACGCUGAUGUGCGAAAGCGUGGGGAUCAAACAGGAUUAGAUACCCUGGUAGUCCACGCCGUAAACGAUGAGUGCUAAGUGUUAGGGGGUUUCCGCCCCUUAGUGCUGCAGCUAACGCAUUAAGCACUCCGCCUGGGGAGUACGACCGCAAGGUUGAAACUCAAAGGAAUUGACGGGGACCCGCACAAGCGGUGGAGCAUGUGGUUUAAUUCGAAGCAACGCGAAGAACCUUACCAAAUCUUGACAUCCUUUGACAACUCUAGAGAUAGAGCUUUCCCCUUCGGGGGACAAAGUGACAGGUGGUGCAUGGUUGUCGUCAGCUCGUGUCGUGAGAUGUUGGGUUAAGUCCCGCAACGAGCGCAACCCUUAAGCUUAGUUGCCAUCAUUAAGUUGGGCACUCUAAGUUGACUGCCGGUGACAAACCGGAGGAAGGUGGGGAUGACGUCAAAUCAUCAUGCCCCUUAUGAUUUGGGCUACACACGUGCUACAAUGGACAAUACAAAGGGCAGCGAAACCGUGAGGUCAAGCAAAUCCCAUAAAGUUGUUCUCAGUUCGGAUUGUAGUCUGCAACUCGACUACAUGAAGCUGGAAUCGCUAGUAAUCGUAGAUCAGCAUGCUACGGUGAAUACGUUCCCGGGUCU